rnacentral:misc_RNA from 1 species
AUAAUAAUAAUAAUAAUAACCCAAGCUCAGAUAAAGCUACAGGCCAAUUGGAAAAAGGCUCAAAAUUCAAAGACCCAGUAAGAGUAAAUUCAAUAAAAAAGGAGGAACAGAAUAAGUUAAAGAAAGAAAACUAAAAACCCAGAAGGCUAAAACAGAGGAACAUAAAAGAGAAGAGAAGGGAAGAAAGGAUCAGAAAAGACAAGAGUCACCUAUGUCUAAGAGUUUAUUUAUACAAAGCCCAAAGGACGAAAAGUGUAAUCUCCGCCUUAGACAAAGCAAAGCAGAAUGAGUCAUCAAGUUAAUGAACAAAGGAAACUGUGAAGAAAUUGAGAGUUGUUGAAG